rnacentral:rRNA from 1 species
CCCUAUGGGGUGCAGCAGUUGAGAAUCUUUUGCAAUGCACGAAAGUGUGACAAAGCGAGCCAGAGUGUUUAUCUUUUUUGAUAAACUUUUGUUAACUGUAAAAAAGUUGACGAAUAAGGACUGGGCAAGACCGGUGCCAGCCGCCGCGGUAAUCCCGGCGGUCCAAGUCGCAGCCACAAUUAUUGGGUCUAAAACAUCCGUAGCUUGUUUUGUAAGUCUCUUGUGAAAUUCCACGUCUUAAACGUGGAGCGUGCAAGAGAUACUACAUAACUAGAGACCGGAGGAUGUAGGGAGUACGGUUGAAGUAGUGGUAAAAUACGUUGAUCUUAACUGGACUAACAACAGCGAAGGCACCCUACAAAUACGGUUCUGACAGUGAGGGAUGAAGGCUAGGGGCGCAAAACGGAUUAGAUACCCGUGUAGUCCUAGCAGUAAACACUGCACACUAAACAUUAGUACCUCCUCGAGAGGUAUUGGUGCUGUAAGGAAGCUGAAGAGUGUGCUACCUGGGAAGUAUAGUCGCAAGGCCGAAACUUAAAGGAAUUGGCGGGGGAGCACUACAACGAGUGACGCGUGCGGUUCAAUUAGAUUCCACACCGUGAACCUCACCAGGACCGACUGCAGAAUGAAGGUCAGUUUGAAGAACUUACCUGACACGCAGAGAGGAGGUGCAUGGCCAA